UACGGGGGCAAGCGUUGUUCGGAAUUACUGGGCGUAAAGGGCUCGUAGGCGGCCAACUAAGUCGGAUGUGAAAUCCCCAGGCUUAACCUGGGAACUGCAUCCGAUACUGAUUGGCUUGAAUCGGGAGAGGAUGCGGAAUUCCAGGUGUAGCGGUGAAAGCGUAGAUAUCUGGAGGAACACCGGUGGCGGAAGGCGGCAUC
rnacentral:rRNA from 1 species